rnacentral:rRNA from 1 species
UACGUAGGCAGCGAGCGUUGUUCGGAAUUACUGGGCGUAAAGCGUGCGUAGACGGUUAUGUAAGUCGGGUGUGAAAGCCCCGGGCUCAACCUGGGAAUGCCAUUCGAGACUGCAUAGCUAGGGUGCGGAAGAGGGAAGCGGAAUUUCCGGUGUAGCGGUGAAAUGCGUAGAUAUCGGAAGGAACACCAGUGGCGAAAGCGGCUUCCUGGUCCAGCACCGACGUCAGGCACGAAAGCGUGGGGAGCAAACAGG